GGCCUCGUGGCCUAACGGUCAAGGCGUUGGUUUUCGGUUUUCCCUAUUUAUAGGGAUUUAGAUGAUCACCAAAGAUUGGGAGUUCGAAUCUUCCCGGGGUCG
rnacentral:tRNA from 1 species